ensembl:lncRNA
AGAUGGUAGUAGAGGUAGAUGGUAGUAGAGGUAGAUGGUAGUAGAUGGUAGAUGGUAGUAGAGGUAGAUGGUAGUAGAGGUAGAUGGUAGUAGAGGUAGAUGGUAGUAGAGGUAGAUGGUAGUAGAGGUAGAUGGUAGAUGGUAGUAGAGGUAGAUGGUAGUAGAGGUAGAUGGUAGUAGAGGUAGAUAGAUGGUAGUAGAGGUAGAUGGUAGUAGAGGUAGAUGGUAGUAGAGGGUAGAUGGUAGUAGAGGUAGAUGGUAGUAGAGGUAGAUGGUAGUAGAGGGUAGAUGGUAGUAAAGGUAGAUGG